GACUCCGGAGACCAGCGGCAACAAUCAGCUGACGCCAUCAACACAUCCUCCAGCCCUCGGCGCCACACACGUCUAGUCCACCUACAAAACACGCCAAGUUCUGGCCUCAUUUCUGACAUAAGCUUCAUAUAAGGCGGAAACAACAGCAGCAGCAACAUUAAGGACCUGUCACAUUACUUAGCGUGACGCGUCGCCCAACACUUCUCGUGUAGUUUUGUCGAGGAGGAAACCUUUACACAAACUGCUCUUGAUUUACCUGAGACUCGUGGCCUCGACGAGGACAGGAAGCCGGCGGCUUGUUGAAAGUUCCCUCCCAAUUGUCCUGAUGGUCUUUAAAUAUCAUAAAGAAGAUGAAGAAGGAAGACCCAACUUACAGAUGCGUCACAUUCCAAUAUGGUUUGGAGUGUGAUUAAGAGCAGUGUGAUGAGUCAGUGGUCGUGGGGCAGCGUAGGAGUGACGACCUUCACUACAGGUCGUGAGCAACACUGAUGCAACAUCAAAGGCAACACCAUAUAGUUGAGUGCCAAUGUGAGGAAGCACACAGGGAGAGAGAUGUUGCAGCUCAUCAUUACGCAGCAAGAAGAACACCUGAUGUGCCAAUAACCAGUGUUGAAAGCUCCUGUGACAAAAAUGGAAUUCAUCAUGUAGUGUCAUCACUGAACGUGAGGAACAUAGAUAGCGUCCAGCCUCUACAACACGUUGAAAACCAGCUCUGAGAUAGCAAUCUGUGGAACAUGUGAUUAUGGAAAUCAGUAACACGUCUCUCUCUGUCUUACCACACGCUGGAAAGUAAAACUUCUAUAAUUUCCACUUCAAUUUGGUACAGUAUUCACGCAUUUAACUGCAAGAUCUAAAAUAAUUGGAGGAAUAAAAGCUGCACUCAUGUGGGUGUUUUAGAUCGCCUGCAGCAUCACGACAGGGCACCUACAUUAAUGUAUAAAAUCGGGCCUAAUUGAAUACUAAUGAGUUAAAAUGCUUUGUCGAAUGUGGUGUCCAUAAGCUGCGCCCUCGAUCUGAAGUCCCAGGAAGUAUGGAUGCUUGCAGAAUCGAAAGAUAUUUGUCGGGCCACUUCAGUACAACUUGCUGUUAGCUGGUUAAUGUGGUGAGGGUCCCUUCUCCUUCCUCUCGGGUGGCGCAUACGCAAUACUGUAACUCUCAAAGCUGGGAUCUUGAGUAUAAAUCAUAAUAUUCAUUUAACCCUUAGGCUGCGCAUGGCAUAUAUAUAUGCCAUAGGGUGCCAGGCACAAUUCAAAUGGCCCACGGCUACACGGGGGUUCACAUCACCUUCCUCAGGGCUCUUGUAAACAGACGCCAUGUUUAAAAAAAAUCGUGGGCAAUAUUCUCCAGUGCGAGAGCCACAGUACGGUGGGAACAACCAAGGCUGAUGUAUGCAGCAUGAGCUAACAGCAUUGCUGUUCAGCUUGUGAUCACAGCAUCCCCUAAAAAUGUCAAAAUAAAUAGGUAACUGCUAUUAUUUAGCGAUGACAGUAUUACAGAUGGUCC
rnacentral:misc_RNA from 1 species